GUGCACAUUUCAUUAACUGCUUUCUCUUAUGUAUGUGAGCAGUGUUAUUUCUUAUGUGCUAUACAAAUAGUGGAAGGUUAAUUAGUAGUAUAAUUAAAUAGGAAUGCUCCCAGUCUCUUUCAGACAAAC